rnacentral:rRNA from 1 species
AUGGGCGCAGGGGUGAUCGACGCGGACUACCGCGGCCCGGUGGGCCUCGUGCUCUUCAACCACUCGGAGGCGGACUUCGCCGUGAAGCCCGGCGGCCACAUCGCACAGAUGAUCCUCCAGGUGAUCGCGACGCCGAAGGUCGCCGAGGUGGAGGACCUCGACGCUACCGUCCGGGGGGAGGGAGGAUUCGGGUCCACCGGCGUGUGA